AGUGAACGCUGGCGGUAGGCCUAACGCAUGCAAGUCGAACGGCAGCACAGGAGAGCUUGCUCUCUGGGUGGCGAGUGGCGGACGGGUGAGGUAUACAUCGGAAUCUACUCUGUCGUGGGGGAUAACGUAGGGAAACUUACGCUAAUACCGCAUACGACCUACGGGUGAAAGCAGGGGACCUUCGGGCCUUGCGCGAUUGAAUGAGCCGAUGUCGGAGUAGCUAGUUGGCGGGGUAGAGGCCCACCAAGGCGACGAUCCGUAGCUGGUCUGAGAGGAUGAUCAGCCACACUGGAACUGAGACACGGUCCAGACUCCUACGGGAGGCAGCAGUGGGGAAUAUUGGACAAUGGGCGCAAGCCUGAUCCAGCCAUACCGCGUGGGUGAAGAAGGCCUUCGGGUUGUAAAGCCCUUUUGUUGGGAAAGAAAUCCAGCUGGCUAAUACCCGGUUGGGAUGACGGUACCCAAAGAAUAAGCACCGGCUAACUUCGUGCCAGCAGCCGCCGCCG
rnacentral:rRNA from 1 species